UGAGUAAGGCAAAUGGCCGCUGCUGCGAUACCGAAAGGCCGUAGGAGAGGAAAGUCCGGGCUUCACAGGGCAGGAUGCCAGAUAGCGUCUGGUGGAGGCGACUCCAAGGAAAGUGCAACAGAAAUUUUACCGCCGGAAUUUUCCGGUAAGGGUGGAAAGGCAGUGUAAGAGACUACCGCCUGGCUGGUAACAGACAGGGCUGUGUAAACCCCAUCCGAAGCAAGAUCAAGCAGGAAGCAUAAGGCGGCCCGUCUGCUUCCGGGUAGAUCGCUUGAGGCUGCCGGCGACGGCAGUCCUAGAUAGAUGGCCAUUCACGACAUAACCCGGCUUACCGCUUUGCUCAGCCU
rnacentral:RNase_P_RNA from 1 species